GACGAACGCUGGCGGCGUGCUUAACACAUGCCAGUCGAACGGUGAAGCGCUUGCCUUUUUGGUGGGUGUGGAUGAGUGGCGAACGGGUGAGUAACACGUGAGUAACCUGCCCUCUUCUUGUGGAUAACCUCAUGAAAGUGGGGCUAAUACGGGGUAUUCCGGGUCUGUCGCAUGGCGGGUUUGGGAAAGAUUGCGCCUUUGGGUGUUUUCGGUGGGGGAUGGGCUCGCGGCCUAUCAGCUUGUUGGUGGGGUGAUGGCCUACCAAGGCGGUGACGGGUAGCCGGCCUGAGAGGGUGGACGGCCACACUGGGACUGAGACACGGCCCAGACUCCUGCGGGAGGCAGCAGUGGGGAAUAUUGCACAAUGGGCGCAAGCCUGAUGCAGCGACGCCGCGUGAGGGAUGGAGGCCUUCGGGUUGUGAACCUCUUUCGCCAGUGAAGCAGGCCUGCUCCUGUGUGGGUGGGUUGACGGUAGCUGGAGAAGAAGCGCCGGCUAACUACGUG
rnacentral:rRNA from 1 species